UACGAAGGGGGCUAGCGUUGUUCGGAUUUACUGGGCGUAAAGCGCACGUAGGCGGUUUGUUAAGUGAGAGGUGAAAUCCCAGAGCUCAACUCUGGAACUGCCUUUCAUACUGGCAAGCUAGAGUCCGGAAGAGGUAAGUGGAACUCCUAGUGUAGAGGUGGAAUUCGUAGAUAUUAGGAAGAACACCAGUGGCGAAGGCGGCUUACUGGUCCGGACUGACGCUGAGGUGCGAAAGCGUGGGGAGCAAACAGG
rnacentral:rRNA from 1 species